rnacentral:rRNA from 1 species
CGAGUAGGCGGGAUGGCAAGUCGGGUGUGAAAGCCCUCAGCUCAACUGAGGAAGUGCGCCCGAAACUACCGUUCUUGAGUGCCGGAGAGGGUGGCGGAAUUCCCGGUGUAGAGGUGAAAUUCGUAGAUAUCGGGAGGAACACCAGUGGCGAAGGCGGCCACCUGGACGGACACUGACGCUGAGACGCGAAAGCGUGGGGAGCAAACAGGAUUAGAUACCCUGGUAGUCCACGCUGUAAACGAUGAGUGCUAGGUGUUGCGGGAGUUGACCCCUGCAGUGCCGAAGCUAACGCAUUAAGCACUCCGCCUGGGAAGUACGGCCGCAAGGCUAAA